UAAAUGUUCACGUAACGAGACAGGAGUGAACUCUGCGCAUGUACAAGAGGAACGGAGGCGGGAAGCCGUAGCCGAGCCCAUUUCGAACUUUGUUUGAAACACACAGUCAGUUGAAGCCGUUGAAGAACAGCGUGAAGAUGGAACCUGCUACUGAGCACAUCAACUCUUAAGUGUGUCCCUGGAAGAUCUACCAUCAACUUCCAGAACUGCAACUGCUAGUACUGUCAGAUGGUGAAUGCUACUCAGGCAAACACCAUUGUUACACCACUUUGAAGGAGAGCCUGGUCAUUUGGUCCCCUCAGCUUCUCCCUUUCUCAGUGAUAUGUUCAUUGUGGCUGGGAUAAUUGUGGGGCACUCUUUCCUUCAUGGAGGACCCUGCUUGUCUGGACUCUGUGAUGUGGUUGUCCAUACUGCUUCGUGGGAGCCCAGACACGGCUACAGUAAACCUGGAGGACUGUGCAGACCUGGACAUUAGAGAAACAAUCAGGCUUCUGGAGGUGGAAUCAAACCUAUCAGCUGAAGAAAUGGGAAGGGUACAGAACGUGGCCUCUUCCUGGGACCUCCCUCCGCUAACCACAACCAACAGGGCCCUUAAUGCUCUGCGGUGAAAAAUGGAGCAACAAGGCUGACCGUGACAUCGGGAGAGCUGAGGCAGAUCAUCUUAAACAUGAUGCACCUGGACGGUCCGGUGGCGGAGACUUCAAGAAUUAAAUAAAAUUACAAUGAAAUGGAUAA